UGGGGAAUAUUGCACAAUGGGCGCAAGCCUGAUGCAGCCAUGCCGCGUGUAUGAAGAAGGCCUUCGGGUUGUAAAGUACUUUCAGUCGGGAGGAAGGUGGUAAGGUUAAUAACCUUAUCAAUUGACGUUACCGACAGAAGAAGCACCGGCUAACUCCGUGCCAGCAGCCGCGGUAAUACGGAGGGUGCAAGCGUUAAUCGGAAUUACUGGGCGUAAAGCGCACGCAGGCGGUUGAUUGAGUCAGAUGUGAAAUCCCCGGGCUUAACCCGGGAAUUGCAUCUGAUACUGGUCUGCUAGAGUCUUGUAGAGGGGGGUAGAAUUCCAUGUGUAGCGGUGAAAUGCGUAGAGAUGUGGAGGAAUACCGGUGGCGAAUGCGGCCCCCUGGAUAAAGACUGACGCUCAGGUGCGAAAGCGUGGUGAGCAAACAGG
rnacentral:rRNA from 1 species